rnacentral:lncRNA from 1 species
GAAGAGAACAAGAUAUUUAUUUUUAACAAAAAUAAUUACCUUCAAGGGCAGUAUUCUGCGCUUCGCAGACGAUUCGAGCUCCUCGGGGAAUGAUUUUUGAGCAUGAGCGAGUCGGCUGGAUCUUAAAGCCUCUGAAUUGAGAGAAUCUAACGGAGGAACGAAGGCUUGAGAAUGAAGAACCGGCUACCGGAGCCAGCGACGACGACGGCAGAGCCCAGGCGCGUGGGACUUUAAUGGUUUCCAGCAAACCAGCCAUUGGAAGAGAGAGUGCGCGCGCGUGGAUAAUGGGGGGAGAGAGGGGAAGUGGAUAUUUACAGAGAGAUAGUGAGGUCUGUGGCUGAGCCGAGUGUUGGUUUUUGAGUUGGAUGUUAGAACUAAGAUAUACGAUUGUCUGUUGAUGAACGGAUGAGGAGUUUAGCGUUUCGCUUCCACGUGCCUCUCACGUGAUCCUCAAGGAUAAUAAAUAUUCUUGAAUUAUUGGAAAUAACUUAAAAAUAUUUUUUUAUUUAUUAUUAAUGUCAAAAUAUCUGUGCCAUCUUUGUUUUAGACCAUAAAUACCUAUAAACCGUUAGUCUUGCCACUGAAGCUAAUAUGACAGUCCAACUAGGUUAGAUUGACUUACAUGGUGAUCCACCUAAGCAAUCCAGCAUACAAAAUUAUAUUUUUGAAAAAAUAUUUUUUCAAAAUAUUUUAUUAAAAUACAAAAUCAACAUUUAUUCCCAAAAGAGUAAAAAUAUUCAGAAAAAUAAUUUAUUUCAAUUUUUUUAUUAAAAUACAAAAUCAACACUUAUUACGAAAAUAGUAAAAAGAAAAUUUUAAAAACUAUUUAUUUAUUAAAUACUAUAUAAUAUAAAAAUAAGUUAUUUUGGAGCGUGCUUUAAUAUAUUGUUCUGAAAUUUUUUUUUCGGAAUAAGUGUUCGAUCAUGAAAAUUUUAAGUUUCACUCGAAGUUGAAUUUUGAAAUAUUUGAAAUUUUGAAAACUCCAAAAAUUAUAAGAACUUCGGGUGAAGCAAUUGACUAUUACAGUAGAGGUGUGCCUUUUGUGAAGCUAUAACUGAUAUGUAUAUAAAAAUUUUGAUCAAACUAAUCAUAAAUUCACAAAAGAGAAUAAUGAAAUUUUUUAAUCAAAUCAUAAAGCCCAAUCAAGAAUAAUUAUUUGAGAUGUUUUUUCCUUCCAAAGCGAAAUAAUCACUCCUCUAGCUUAUUGCGCUUUCCAAAAUUUUUUCACUAAUUUCAGAAUAAGUGUUGAUUUGUAUUUUAAUAAAAUAAAUUCGAAAUAAAUAAUUUUCCUAAUAUUUCUUACUUUUUUCGGAAUAAAUGUUAAUUUUGUAUUUUAACAAAAAAAUUGAAAAAUAUUUUUUCUGAAAAAAUAGUUUUGCCCAGCUGGAUUGCUUAGGUGGAUGGCCAUGUAAGCAAACCUAACCUAGUUGGAUUGCCUAAGACUAACGGUUUAGGGGUAUUUGUGGUCCAAAACAUAGACGGCAGAGAUAUUUUUAGCACCAAAAAUAAAUGGAUGAUAUUUUUGAGCUAUUUCGAAUAGUUCAAGGGCAUUUUAUGAUUGAGAAAUGAAAUUAUAUAUACAUACAUAUAUAUAUAUAUACACGUACAUUUUUGUUACUGUCAAACGUAAAUAGUUUCGAUUGCGGACCCAAAGUAAUUCUUGGCAUUUAUGAUUCUGUUAGAGAUUUUUUGGUUCCUAUACAAUAUUUGAAAAUAUCAGUGAAGAAGGCUAAGACUUACCUCAAAAACAUAAUACAACAUGAUAAUUUCUAUCACCCAAAAGGCCAGUAGAGGUAUGUAUAUACAUGUCUCUCUACUGUCACUAAUUAUAUCUACAUCAAAAUCAGCUAACAAAAAAAUGCUCUUCUCAUAUUUUGUUCAUAUACUAGGCAUUUGCCAUUUAUCAUUGAUGAAUGGGACUUUACUUUCUUUAUUAGUGGCUUAAAUUAGGAAAUUCAGUUACAUUAUUUUUUUUCCUCUUCUUUUUCUCUAUUCUUUGCCGCCUUUCUUCUUAUAUAAACUAUUAUUAAUGUUUUAAAUUAGGGAAUUCAGUUAUAUUCAUUUUUUUUCUCUCAACUCCUCUUUACAAUAAUGUCUUAACUGUAAUAUAGCAAUUCCAAUAAUAUCUAACCACAGUGACGUAUAAUAGUUUUAAGACAUUUUUUAGAGAGAACAUAUAGAACUUUAACUGAAAUUGUCGACGCAAACAAAUUUUUUAUGACUCAAAAACGAAAGAUUGUCCAAUACCUAGAAGGUAAAUACAAUAAAAGGAAAACACAUAGGUUUACGUUUGAUCUCAAACUUGCCAACUAGUGCAACAAAAUUUGCAUAAAUUCAAAGUAGCUUCUCAAUUAACGUAUGGCCUAACAUGUUACAUGAAUAAGUUGGGUCUGCUAGCCUUGUAUGUUGUCUUCAUUUUCGUACUAGGUGGUAUGGCUUUCUUGAACACCUUUGUUGAACACCCUGGAGUCAUGGAACUGCUUGGUGCUCUCGUGAGAACCAAAUCUUAUAAAACUAUUUUAAUAGUUUGAACCAGAAUGUAAUGCCAAAUCAAAGCAAUAAAGACAUUAACGAUAGACAGGACCUAACCGGGGUAAGUUAAAUGUCGGAAUAUUUAAAUUUGAUAUAAAUUGAUAUAUUUAUAACAAUAUAUAAAUUAAAUUAAAUUUUGUACAACUAAUUAUACAGUAUAUAAUUUAUUGAUAAUUUAUCUACAUUUUAUAUACAUUAGUUUUACCCAAUUAAAUACGAUUACAAUAUCAUACAACUUAAAUACAAUUUUCAUAAAAAAUUUAUAUAAUAUCUUUUGUAUGUAUUUUGUACGUGGUGUAUUCUUCUUCUUCUCUGAAAUUCCAAUCAAAACUUUCUUUCUUAAUACAAUUUUGAUACAUAUCAAUAACUUUAUGUAAAAAGAUAGUAUUUACAACUUAAAUACAAUUUCUUCUUUUUUCUUCUUCUUCUUCUUCUUCUUCAAGUUUUAAUUUGAAAUCCAGCUAAAAUCAACUCUCGUUUUUACCAAACACUCUCAAAAUUGAGAUAUAAAUUUCAAAGAAUAUUCCCAAUCGUGUGCAACAACACUCAAUCAAAAAAUAAAAUUUUAUUUUUUGAAAACCCGAAUUUGAAUUCAACGUUUUGAAACUUUUUAAUAGCUGUCAAUGGUGGAGAGUCAAACAUCUUUAGAAUUUAUUGAUUGACAGUUCAAUUGGGACACCAAUUGUGCAGCAUGAAAGAAAAUUAGAACUCUAUACUGAAACGAUUAAAAUCAACUGAUGAAUUCCAUUAAAACUCUAUACAAUAUGAAAGGAUAAAAAGUAGAGAACAUGGAAGAGAGAGAGAGAGAGAGAGAGAGAGAGAGAGAGAGAGAGAGAGAGAGAGUAUAUAGAGGGAUAGGGAUUCCCUAUUCAAUUCCUAAUAUAAAGGGAUAUAUACUUAUUGAUAGAUCUUAAACACUCUUACCUUAUGUUUUGAUGAUCUAACAAACUUACUGCUCAGAACCAGUUAUGGAACAUGACCUACUUUGGAGUGCUGCAAACUUCAAUGGACUCCAAUAAAAGAUGAACUACUAGAGAUUCGGAGCUAGGAACCAAACAAGAACCUGAUGCUCAUGUGAUUCCUAUAUUGCAGUACAAAGUCAUUUGGACACAGUUGGAACUGAAGUGACUGGGGCGGCACUGUUUCUGCCACAUUGCACCAUACUGUCAGCCCACUCAUUCUCUAACCAAGCAAAGUAUUCACAUCAUUUCAAGUGAUGUGAUCAAGAUUAUCAAAGGGGCUUUAUACAAGAACAUCACUGGAAGAUUUCUGUUUCUCAUUCAAGCCCAUAGCAAAAACAGAAAAAUCAUUCUUUUAAGCUUGAAGAACAAGGUUGAACGCCACUACGGACCAGUUCCUAAAAGGUUGAUUGUUGAUGUCCUAGUUGAGUUGUAACCUUGUUAUUGUGCUUACUAUAUCUCCUAAAUCACUUACUUAGAAGUUUACUGAUUAGGAAUCCUUUUGUAAAUUUUUAAACUUGUUGAGUUUAGUUUGUGGCUAAAUUUAGUCAUAAAAAGAAGUCUUUUUAAUCGUAGAAUUACAAAGUGGCUUCUGGUGACAACACCACAAGUUAGAAAAAGCCUUUGUAACUAGGAUAGUCACAAAGUGGCUUGUGGUAAAGGUACCACAAGUUAGUUGGGCAAAUCCUUUGCAAUCAGAAGUAUUAUAAAGUGGCUUGUAAUAGGUAAGAUUAUAAGCUGGUGAAGUUAAAAUCCUAUAGGGUAGGUCAUGGGUUUUUUAUCCCCUUGUGCGGGAUUUUUCCAUGUAAAAAUCCUCUGCCUCAUUUACUUACUACUUUACUAAGUGCUCUCAGCAGAAACUUGUAGAGAACUAGGUACUCUACGAUUUGGUGGAACCAUACAAACUAUAAAUUGAUAUCAUAGCAGGUUCCUCCUAUCAGGCUUACACCUAGGAAGGAUCUUAAUGGAAGCUUCACUAAAUUUUGAAGAAGGCCAAUCCAUAUAUCACCCACCCAAGUUUCAUGGAAAAUGCUAUUGGUCGUGGAAAGCUAGAAUGUAUGAUUUCAUCAUGGCUAAGGAUUGUGAGCUUUGGAAUGUCAUGUGUGAUGAUCUAUUUGUUCCAAUCAAGGUACUAAAUGAAUUUCAUUUUUCAAUAAACAAGACUUGUGGAGAAUACACUGAAGCAGACAAGAAAGCGGUGGAGAAGAAUUUUCGUGUCAAGAAAAUUCUGGUACAUGGUUUGGGACCUAAAAAGUACGACAGAAUCUCUACAUACGACACUAGCAAGGAAAUAUGGGAGCUUUGCAAAUAGCUUAUGAGGGAUCUACACAAGUAAAACAAGAUAAAUCUAAAACUGAUGAUAGUUCUACGAUAGUAGUUGAAGGCGAGGAGAUUGGAUAUGACUCAACGCUUGCUUUGAUGGCUCAAUCAGACAAUGAUGAAGACAAUGACAACAAAGAAGUAAACUUUAGGGAUGUUCAGAAAAAUCUGAAAUCUUAUUCUCCAAAAAAAUUUAUGUGUUUAGUUGAUGUUUUAAUUACUGCCUUUUGUAGUCUUGUAGAGGAUAGAGAUUCCUUGUUCUUAGAACUAGAAGAAUCUGAACAUACUAGAGAAGACUUACUGGCUGUAAUUACUAAUCAAAAGAAAGCCGUUGAAAUUCUUAGAAAUGAAAAUAGUGAUCUUUUGGCAGAAACUACUGACCAAGGGGAACUAAUAGUAAAGCCCUUGACUAAGUUAAAACUUGAAAGCUUUGAAAAAGGAAAUGAGAUAGUUAGUGAGGAAUAUUUUAGGCUUGAGAAUGA